rnacentral:lncRNA from 1 species
UGAUCCCCAGGUAUGUUUGUCCAGGAGCCCUGCACGAUUCCUCAUACCCAAGGACGGUGUGAGACGUGUCCCCCAGGAUCGUUCUCAAGGAGUGCUAAUGACCUCAACUCUUGUAUACCUUGCUCCACCUGUACUAAAGAGCAGGAAAUGGUGGCCGACUGCUCUGCCACCAGUGACCGGGUAUGUCAGUGCCAAACAGGUCAUUACUACUAUGACCCGGAAGUUCCAGAGUUUUGCUGCCCAUGUACCACGUGCCCCCAAGGAAUCCCUGCCCUUCAGGAAUGCAACCCCACCAACGACACAGUGUGCCGUCAGUCUGCUUCAAGUAAGACAGAUUCCAGAGACCGGGUAUUCCUACCAAUUUCCCUAUUGCUGGGCAUUUGUCUGAUGUUGUUGUCUGCUGUAUCAUAAGACGAUAAUGGUUCUACAGAUGUUGUCUUGGCUAUCGUUUUAUUGCAUGAAGAAACACCAUGGAGGCAACUCUUUUUUUUUUUUUUUUUUUUUUGAGAGAGAGACAGAGUUUCUCUGUGUAACCAGCCCUGGCUCUCAUUGUCUUUGACUCAUUUGUAGACCAGGCUGGCCUCAUCCUCACAGAGAUCCAGACUAAGGCAACUCUAAUAAAGGAAAACAUCUAAUUGGGA